GUUUUUUUGAAUAUAAUUUAAAGUCUGGUCUGCCCAAUGAAUUUUAAAUGGCCGCAGUAUUUUGACUGUGCGAAGGUAGCAUAAUAAUUAGUUUUUUUAUUGAAAGCUUGUAUGAAUGAUUUAAUGAAAAAAUAUCUGUCUCUAAUUUAUUUAAAUAGAAUUUUAUUUUUUAGUUAAAAAGCUUAAAUUUGAUUUAAAGACGAGAAGACCCUAUAGAGUUUAAUAUAUUUAUAAUAAUUUAUUUUGUGAUAUUUAUGUAUAUUUUAUUAUAAUUAUAUUUUAUUGGGGUGAUAUAAAAAUUUAAUUAACUUUUUUAAUAUAUUAACAAUUAUAAUUGAUUAUAUGAUCCUUUUUUUUUAGGAUAAUUAGAUAAAAUUACCUUAGGGAUAACAGCGUAAUUUUUUUGUAGAGUUCAAAUCGAUAAAAAAGAUUGCGACCUCGAUGUUGGAUUAAGAUUUAUUUUUAAUGAAGAAGUUAAAAUAUUUAGUCUGUUCGACUUUUAAUAUCUUACAUGAUC
rnacentral:rRNA from 1 species